rnacentral:lncRNA from 1 species
GUAGUCUAUUUAUGAUGUCCGAGGAAGAUGAUGGAAUUGUAAUAGUUGGUUGAGUCUGUUUUAGGUCUGUUUUUCAAGCCUUUGGUUGGGGAGUGACUUUUGAAGUCAAUGACAAUGCCAGGUUUAAGAAGAUUUCUGGAGGCAUGUGUUUAGGGAAUGGCGUGGAUGAGACAAAGACUCGAUUUAUAGACUGCCCCACACAACUGCUGUGUCCUGAGCACCAACAGUGUGAAAGGAGUACGCGGCCGUCAACCCCUGUGAAGGACCAUCCCUUUCAAGAGCAAUGUGAAUACAGUGCCCAGCCACGGAAAGGGGAGUCACAAAUGAAAACAAAAGACAUACAUUCAAAAGACGACCUGUACCCUGAUUUUCUUAUGAAAUGCUUAAUGAAAAGAUGCUCAAACACCUCCAUGGAUUUGUGGAUUCUGAAGUAGGAAGGCAGCAGGAACAGAAGCCCAUGGGCUGUCUUCACUGACCUUAAUUGUUUGGGUUUCGAGUUUAGCAGCUAAAUGGUCCUGCCUGGAGAAUGUGCUUUGUUUCACGCUGAUGUUUGAAGAAAUUCCCUGGUUUGUAUCAGUCAUACAUCAUGUCAGGGAGUAAGAAUCACCCAGACACUGCUCAAAGACGGGGGCACCUCUUUGUCCUCUCCAAAUUCAAGGAAUGAAAACCAACUUAGGAACACAGGUGGAUAACAGUGAAAUAGACAUCUAGACUCAGGGACUUCUCGUUAGGGGCCAAGGCUACU